rnacentral:rRNA from 1 species
UACGUAGGGUGCAAGCGUUGUCCGGAAUUAUUGGGCGUAAAGAGCUCGUAGGCGGUUUGUCGCGUCUGCUGUGAAAACUCGGGGCUUAACCCCGGGCCUGCAGUGGGUACGGGCAGACUAGAGUGCGGUAGGGGAGACUGGAAUUCCUGGUGUAGCGGUGAAAUGCGCAGAUAUCAGGAGGAACACCGGUGGUGUAGACGGCUUUCUGGACCGUAACUGACGCUGAAACACGAAAGCGUGGGUAGCAAACAGG